GGUGGUUCAGCGGUAGAAUGCUUGCCUUGCAUGCAUGAAGCCCUGGGUUUGAUUCCUCAGCACCA
rnacentral:tRNA from 1 species